CAACCCUCAAGCUAUGCUUGGUAUUGGAUGCCACUUAAUAUGGUGCAUCUUAAAAUCAGUGGCAGUGCCAUCUUGCUUCCAAGUGUAGUAAUAUUUCUCGCUUUGGAUGUUUGGGUGUGCGCUUGCCAGCAACCCUCUAAUUUAUCAAA
rnacentral:misc_RNA from 1 species